GACGAACGCUGGCGGCGUGCUUAACACAUGCAAGUCGAACGGUAGGGCCCUUCGGGGUACACGAGUGGCGAACGGGUGAGUAACACGUGGGUGAUCUGCCCUGCACUUCGGGAUAAGCCUGGGAAACUGGGUCUAAUACCGGAUAGGACCCUGGGAUGCAUGUCCUGGGGUGGAAAGCUUUUGCGGUGUGGGAUGGGCCCGCGGCCUAUCAGCUUGUUGGUGGGGUGAUGGCCUACCAAGGCGACGACGGGUAGCCGGCCUGAGAGGGUGACCGGCCACACUGGGACUGAGAUACGGCCCAGACUCCUACGGGAGGCAGCAGUGGGGAAUAUUGCACAAUGGGCGCAAGCCUGAUGCAGCGACGCCGCGUGAGGGAUGACGGCCUUCGGGUUGUAAACCUCUUUCAGCUAUGACGAAGCGCAAGUGACGGUAGUAGCAGAAGAAGGACCGGCCAACUACGUGCCAGCCGCCGCAGUAA
rnacentral:rRNA from 1 species